AUUGAACGCUGGCGGCACGCCUAACCCAUGCAAGUCGAGCGGAGCGGCGGACGGGUGAGUAAUGCCUAGGAAUCUGUCUGGUAGAGGGGGAUACCGCCCGGAAACGGGCGCUAAUACCGCAUACUUUCAGAUGCGACAAGGUCGGAUUCGCUAGUUGUGUGGGUAAAGGCCUACCAAGGCGACGAUCCGUAACUGGUCUGGGAGGAUGAUCAGUCACACUGGAACGUCGACACUGUCCAGACUCCUACGUGAGGCAGCAGUGGGGAACAUUGGACAGUGGGCGAAAGCCUGAUCCAGCCAUGCCGCGUGAGUGAAGAAGGUCUGCGGAUUGUAAAGCACUUUAAGUUGGGAGGCGUUACCAACAGAAUACGCACCGGCUAACUUCGUGCCAGCAGCCGCGGUAAUAC
rnacentral:rRNA from 1 species